ensembl:lncRNA
UGAGGAACUGGGGGACUUGAUUUCACAGGGGUGGAUAGAGAAACUCCCAUGAAUGUACCACUCAUUGUUUGAGUAAGAGAGAAAAGAGUCUCGUUAUGUUGGUGCGUGGCUAUUCUGUUAAACUGCAAGACUCCCCCUGCGUCCAGGAUGCCAUGGAUGACCUUGAAAAGAAACACCAUGUUUGUACUAUUAGGCAAUUUAAGGCAGGGCGGGACGGCUGAGAGGAGCGCUCUCUCACCACUCUCACCAGUGGCUAAUUAACAAUGUGGCCCCAGUUAAAGUCUGCUGUCUCCCGGGCUCCCGUGUCGGAUUAUUGUCUCCCAUCGACGCAACGCGCAUGCCAGCGUGUUUGCUCAGCCUGCGCUCUGUACCCUGCCCAGCCUUCCACCGAACCUGCCAGCAGCCCACCCCCGGGCCUCUCCUCACGAUCCCCUGGACACGAGACCCCCUGAAUAAAUCCUUUCUUUUUGAC